GCCAGGAGUGGUGGUGUGCACCUGUAGUCCCAGCUACUCGGGAGGCUGAGGCAGGAUGAUCGCUUGAGCCCAGGAGUUUGAGGCUGCAGUGAGCCGAGAUCAAGCCACUGUACUCCAGCCUGAGUGACAGAGUGAGACCCUGUCUCAA
rnacentral:SRP_RNA from 1 species